rnacentral:piRNA from 1 species
UAUCAGUUGGGCUGGUAACAAUUUAAGC